rnacentral:rRNA from 1 species
UACGUAGGGGGCAAGCGUUGUCCGGAUUCAUUGGGCGUAAAGAGCGUGUAGGCGGCCAGGUAGGUCGGUUGUGAAAACUGGAGGCUCAACCUUCAGAGGUCGACCGAAACCAUCUGGCUAGAGUCCGGGAGAGGAGAGUGGAAUUCCUGGUGUAGCGGUGAAAUGCGUAGAUAUCGAGAGGAACACCAGAGGUGAAGACGGGUUGCUGGGCCGACACUGACGCUGAGGCGCGAAAGCCAGGGGAGCAAACGGG